rnacentral:sRNA from 1 species
ACCGCUGAACUCCCGUGUCCCUCCGCGCAGGCGGGCGGCCCCGGAGCGCUGGUGCCGGCAGAGGCGGCGACGGCGGCGCCCCUCCUCAUCAUGCCUUGGCAGCUGUGGCUUGGCCCAGACACAGAGACCCCCACCUCCAAAGAGGACGUCCUUACUAGGUGCCAAGCAUAUAAGAGUGAGGCCAGUCCCAGAACCGCAGGCUCCUGGCGCGCCCUGCAUGCCUCCAGCACGUUUCCCUUUCCGAGGUGGCAGCAAUGGGGAAAGCGCACGCUUAGGAGAGCUUCAGACAAGCUUCCCUCAUCCUCCUCCACGACCAGAAGCGGAAAGGUGCUCCCGGACCGAAAGGGACAGAAGGUUCAGCACUGCCCCGCUUGGGAAGGCACCCACAACCAGUGUAGGGACUAGGGGUAAGGCCGGCGGGGAGCCCGCGAAUGACCUGGGCUGACAUCUCUUCCCCUCUUUACACAGAACAGAGGCUUCUCCCGAAAAAGCCACACAUUCCUGCCCAAGAUCUUCUUCCGCAAGAUGUCAUCCUCAGGGACCAAGGACAAGCCUGAGCUGCAGUUUCCCUUCCUU